AACGAACGCUGGCGGCAGGCUUAACACAUGCAAGUCGAACGCCCCGCAAGGGGAGUGGCAGACGGGUGAGUAACGCGUGGGAAUCUACCCAGUUCUACGGAACAACUGAGGGAAACUUCCGCUAAUACCGCAUAUGCCAUACGGGGGAAAGAUUUAUCGGAAUUGGAUGAGCCCGCGUUGGAUUAGCUAGUUGGUGAGGUAACGGCUCACCAAGGCGACAAUCCAUAGCUGGUCUGAGAGGAUGAUCAGCCACACUGGGACUGAGACACGGCCCAGACUCCUACGGGAGGCAGCAGUGGGGAAUAUUGGACAAUGGGCGCAAGCCUGAUCCAGCCAUGCCGCGUGAGUGAUGAAGGCCUUAGGGUUGUAAAGCUCUUUCAGUGGGGACGAUAAUGACGGUACCCACAGAAGAAGCCCCGGCUAACUUCGUGCCAGCAGCCGCCGUAACAC
rnacentral:rRNA from 1 species